AACGAACGCUGGCGGAAUGCCUAACACAUGCAAGUCGAACGAGACCUACGAGUCUAAUAGAGCAUGGGUGCGUCACGCGUGGGAACCUGCCCUUAGGUUCGGAAUAACUCUCCGCAAGGGGUGCUAAUACCGGAUAAUGUCUUCGGACCAAAGAUUUAUCGCCUUUGGAUGUUCCCGCGUUGGAUUAGAUAGUUGGUAGGGUAAAAGCCUACCAAGGCGACGACGCAUAGCUGGUCUGUGAGGAUGAUCAGCCACACUGGGCCUGAGACACGGCCCAGACUCCUACGGGAGGCAGCAGUGGGGAAUAGUGGACAAUGGGCUAAAGCCUGAACCAGCAAUGCCGCGUGAGUGAUGAAGGCCGUAGAGUUGUAAAGCGCUUUUACCCGGGAUGAUAAUGACAGUACCGGGAGAAUAAGCUCCGGCUAACUCCGUG
rnacentral:rRNA from 1 species